rnacentral:tRNA from 2 species
GCUGGGGUUGCCGAGCCUGGUAAGGCGCUAGCUUGGAGAGCUAGUGGCAUUUGCCACGCGGGUUCAAAUCCCGCCCCCAGCA